rnacentral:rRNA from 1 species
GAACGCUAGCUACAGGCUUAACACAUGCAAGUCGAGGGGAAACGACAUCGAAAGCUUGCUUUUGAUGGGCGUCGACCGGCGCACGGGUGAGUAACGCGUAUCCAACCUGCCCAUCACUUGGGGAUAACCUUGCGAAAGUAAGACUAAUACCCAAUGACGUCCAUAGAAGACAUCUGAAAUGGAUUAAAGAUUUAUCGGUGAUGGAUGGGGAUGCGUCUGAUUAGCUUGUUGGCGGGGUAACGGCCCACCAAGGCGACGAUCAGUAGGGGUUCUGAGAGGAAGGUCCCCCACAUUGGAACUGAGACACGGUCCAAACUCCUACGGGAGGCAGCAGUGAGGAAUAUUGGUCAAUGGACGAGAGUCUGAACCAGCCAAGUAGCGUGCAGGAAGACGGCCCUAUGGGUUGUAAACUGCUUUUAUAAGGGAAUAAAGUGAGUCUCGUGAGACUUUUUGCAUGUACCUUAUGAAUAAGGACCGGCUAAUUCCGUGCCAGCAGCCGCGGUAAUACGGAAGGUCCGGGCGUUAUCCGGAUUUAUUGGGUUUAAAGGGAGCGUAGGCCGGAGAUUAAGCGUGUUGUGAAAUGUAGACGCUCAACGUCUGCACUGCAGCGCGAACUGGUUUCCUUGAGUACGCACAAAGUGGGCGGAAUUCGUGGUGUAGCGGUGAAAUGCUUAGAUAUCACGAAGAACUCCGAUUGCGAAGGCAGCUCACUGGAGCGCAACUGACGCUGAAGCUCGAAAGUGCGGGUAUCGAACAGGAUUAGAUACCCUGGUAGUCCGCACGGUAAACGAUGGAUGCCCGCUGUUGGUCUGAAUAGGUCAGCGGCCAAGCGAAAGCAUUAAG